rnacentral:piRNA from 1 species
UAUACAGCCUACUGCCGAAGUCCGGUUACAGG